UGGGGAAUAUUGGACAAUGGGCGAAAGCCUGAUCCAGCCAUGCCGCGUGUGUGAAGAAGGCCUUUUGGUUGUAAAGCACUUUAAGUGGGGAGGAAAAGCUUAUGGUUAAUACCCAUAAGCCCUGACGUUACCCACAGAAUAAGCACCGGCUAACUCUGUGCCAGCAGCCGCGGUAAUACAGAGGGUGCAAGCGUUAAUCGGAAUUACUGGGCGUAAAGCGCGCGUAGGUGGUUAUUUAAGUCAGAUGUGAAAGCCCCGGGCUUAACCUGGGAACUGCAUCUGAUACUGGAUAACUAGAGUAGGUGAGAGGGGAGUAGAAUUCCAGGUGUAGCGGUGAAAUGCGUAGAGAUCUGGAGGAAUACCGAUGGCGAAGGCAGCUCCCUGGCAUCAUACUGACACUGAGGUGCGAAAGCGUGGGUAGCAAACAGGAUUAGAUACCCUGGUAGCCCACGCCGUAAACGAUGUCUACCAGUCGUUGGGUCUUUUAAAGACUUAGUGACGCAGUUAACGCAAUAAGUAGACCGCCUGGGGAGUACGGCCGCAAGGUUA
rnacentral:rRNA from 1 species